ensembl:lncRNA
GCACUCCACAUUCUGAUACCGACCUGCACCAAUAAUUGAUCUCUGUGUGUGUGUUUACCUCUGCAUGGAAGAUACUUCCCAGCAUGCAUCGAUUCGUUAGGUAACACAUGACACCCAUUGAUUUUACUCCCAAGCAGUGAAGUCGAAAUCCUCCAUCUGCAGUUAUUAGUAAAUACAGCGCGGCUGCGAUUGCCUUGUCAACGAGACUGAACUUUGCAGCAAACACACACACAAGACCUGAGAAACUUCUGGAAAGGACAUAACCGGCGUCCUUGAAAACAGAUUGGAGCGGCCCACAAAAGUUGAUAGAAUCAGUGCGAUUAAUUUUUUAUCGUGAUGAAGGAUGGAAGCCCAUCGAGAGUCGCUGCUGCUGAAUCUGACACGUUUAGCAGAAACAGCCGCCAGGCCUUUCGCCGCUGAGUUAUUGGACAGUCAGACUUCAAAUUGUGGUGUAUUUUUCAGCCGCCAGAGAGUCUGUUUUUUUUUCCAUCUUCCCAAAUGAAUCCUGGAGCCGAGCGAUCGCUCUUAUCGCACACAGGAGAUUCGUCAGAGCUUCACUGAUUCACAUCUCCAGAGCUUCUGCUCUUACAGUUCGAGACAUUUUGAUUAGAGCUUGAGCUGCUUGUUCCCGAGGGAGAAUCUCUCAGUGUAACAGGUGCCGGGAACCCAACAGUCUGGAGGAGCAGGAGAGGAACAGAACGUAAAGAUGACCGUCACACAGCAGGACGCUGAAAUUACACUGUUAUCAACGGGGCUUUUUUCACACCAUCAAACUGGGUCAAAGCACCUCGUGCGGCUCACCACUGACGGCGAUUAUUUCUGCAAGGCGAGAGAACCCUCGAGAGUGAAAUCUUAUGGGAAUGAUUGCAUCUCUCGUUUUGUAAGCAAUUGUAUACCGCAAGACAAACUGUGAUGUUUAAUAUCCAUGUGAAGUUCGAUUCGGUAGAUCUGGCUGAAAUCAUCUGAUGCAAACUGUAGAGAAAAACAGCAACAGCCCACAGAAAAUCACAAGAAAUGGGUCCAGGUCAGUGUUCACCUGAGUGGCUCAUCUCUCUCACUUGAAAAGCAUCU